rnacentral:tRNA from 1 species
UCCCUGGUGGCUCAGACAGUAAAGAAUCUGCCUGCAGUGCAGUAGACCUGGGUUCAAUCCCUGGCUUGGGAA